GAGUCCGGUAGGUAAGGCUACCACAGGGAUAUGGGUCACUGCCGCAAAAUGAUGGAGACAUCAUGCGCUGGUCUGAGCAGGCGAUAUCGAAACGAAGGUACCGCAUAAUGUGACUUCACCGCCUUGUGAUGCUAAAGCUUGAACGGUG
rnacentral:sRNA from 1 species